AGAAAGAAGUGUGACUUCCAAGACACAUUUCCCUCUGCUCAGUGUGCAUUUUUUUUACAAACUGUUUUGUGUGUGUGUCUAAAAUCUGAUCCUCCGCCCCUGGAAAAAGGGGACCUUGUCCUUCUGGGGGAUGAAAUCAAAUUGAAGCUCCCACAAUCCAGUGAGAUACUUUAUUUUCGAGUUUAUAUGCAUUAUAAACAAAGGAAAUGACCCUCGUUGGACAAAGAGUCUUCCCCAGUUGAUGAAAGGUCUUAUAAAUAAACUGUGUGCCCGUCUACUGUCCAGCUUUUCUGCCAGCUUGGAACAAAACUGAGACAAAUGUUUGCCAGUGUAAAGUUACUGAUCUAAGCAGCAUCUGGGCCCUUCUAGACAGGAGUGCAGCUGGUGUUAUUCUACUGGCAGCAUAAAGGCAAUAUGCA